rnacentral:lncRNA from 1 species
CCCCGCCAAGCGUCUGCUGAACGGCGACCGCCUCCUCUUCCCCGCCUCUUCCUUCUCCUGCGCCUCGGCGGCCGCCGGAGCCACUCUUCAGGGAGGAAGCGGCCUCCGGGGCUUGUUGCUUUGUGCUGCAACCAUGUGACUGCAAGGACAACGUUGCUCUCCUACCUUCCGCGCUCACUGACAUCUAAACCCUUAAAUGACUCCUGCGUUAGUCAGGUAGGAAUGUGGCUUUCCAACUCCAGACCUGGUAUCACAUCGGACAAGAAAACACCAGGUCAGCCCGUUGUAAUCUAGAGGCCAAGACAGCAAGUUCUCUGACAUAAUCAAGAAUGAAUAAUCCUAGGUCGGACUUUGCCUUCCACUGGGCAGAGCACCUUCUCAGGAUCGCGAGUUUCCAAUCCAGACUUGCCCGGUACAAAGCCCAUAUUAGUGUGUUAAGAUGUCCCUGCU